rnacentral:rRNA from 1 species
UACGGAGGAGGCAAGCGUUAUCCGGAAUUAUUGGGCGUAAAGCGUCCGCAGGUGGCACCUCAAGUCUGCUGUCAAAGACCGGGGCUUAACCCCAGAAAGGCAGUGGAAACUGAAGUGCUAGAGUGCAGUAGGGGUAGAGGGAAUUCCCGGUGUAGCGGUGAAAUGCGUAGAUAUCUGGAGGAACACCGGUGGCGAAGGCGGCAUCCUGGACCAACACUGACACUGAUGAGCGAAAGCCAGGGGAGCAAACGGG